rnacentral:rRNA from 1 species
GAUGAACGCUGGCGGCGUGCUUAACACAUGCAAGUCGAACGGAAAGGCCCAAGCUUGCUUGGGGACUCGAGUGGCGAACGGGUGAGUAACACGUGGGUGAUCUGCCCUGCACUUCGGGAUAAGCCUGGGAAACUGGGUCUAAUACCGGAUAGGACCACUUCUUGGAUGUUGUGGUGGAAAGUUUUUUGGGUGUGGGAUGAGCUCGGGGCCUAUCGGCUUGUUGGUGGGGUAAUGGCCUACCAAGGCGUCGACGGGUAGCCGGCCUGAGAGGGUGUACGGCCACAUUGGGACUGAGAUACGGCCCAGACUCCUACGGGAGGCAGCAGUGGGGAAUAUUGAACAAUGGGCGCAAGCCUGAUGCAGCGACGCCGCGUGGGGGAGUACGGCCUUCGGGUUGUAAACUCCUUUCGCUAGGGACGAAGCGCUUUGUGACGGUACCUGGAGAAGAAGCACCGGCUAACUACGUG